AAGCAAUUUGCUCAUAGCCAUAGCUUUCUUGUGAAAGUAGGAUAUUAACCCAGGUGUCUUGGUGCUGGAGAACAGAACUGGCCAGAGUCCAUCCUGUCUCCCACCGGCAUCCCAUUACGAAAUGAACACAGAAAAGGCAGGUCUGCAAUGCCAACAUCUAGUAUCUAUCCCAAAGACCAGGGAGAAAGGAAGGAAAGAUUCUGGUUCUGUCCUCUUCCCCAAGGCAAGGCUGGCUGCCCUACCAACAGAGGCAAAGAGAAGAGUGUGCAAGGCUGGCUGCCCUCCCAACAGAGGCAAAGAGGAGUGUGUGUUGAAAUAUCCAUUGAAUCCCUGAGACAACUGGAUCCUGGCCCAUUGAAUCAUAAACUCACUGAAAUUUUUAAUAUAAUGCCUCUUAGCCUGGUUUGGAGAAAACGUCACAGAGAGGCACCAUUUGUUGUGGUUUUACAUGAAAAUUUUCUGACCCUGAACCUGGUUUGAUGGAAAUCAUUUGCUGAGGAAACCAUGCCGAUUACCGACCGAGCUCUCAAUGGAAAAAUGCAGUCGGCGUGAACCACGCACGAACACAGCAGAGAAAGAAGAAAACACACACCACGAGGAACCCUAAUAGGACAAUACAUUAUAAGCCUCAUGGUACAUCCACUUGGUGUGCUGGGAGAGUCAGGAUGAGGACCUGAGAAGAACAGCAGCUUGAACCUGACUUCAUUUAACAGCCCACUGCCCUCUUGCCAAGAACCCAUCACAGACCUUCCCAGAAGAGAGGGAUGAGCCUCACCUAUGAAUAAGUCCUCAGAAACUCAAAUUUGAUUCUAAUGGAUUGUUUUCUCAGAAAGACUGAGCAUGUCCCCCCACAUCUCUGUCAUUUCCCACAGUAGUAACCUCUGCAGAUGCCACAUAGAAAACAAAACAAAACAAAAAAACAUGAGGUUGGUGGGCAGAUAGGCAGGGUAUAAACAAACAGCCUUGUAACCCAGAAGCUGUGUGAUAUACAGUAAACUUCACAACACUGAAAAGAUGUCCUAUCUGUUAAAAUGGGGUAAUAACAACUACCCGAAUGUUUAGGAAUAGAACUUCAAUAAAUGAUACAUUUUAUAGUACAGCAGACCAUCCUGUAAAGGUUUCAUCCUUCACUGUGGUGAUAAAUAUCCCAAACCACAUUGAAAAGCAUUGCAUCUACAUUUAUCUACACUGUAACUGUACUGUAAAUCAUGGGGGAGGGGAGAAUCAUAAAAACACCACCUGUCACCGUGUCAUUAAAGCAAGUUGGAAGUGAUACUUACAGAAACACAGCAAGAGCACCCCCAGUCACACAGUUCAAUCUCUUAGCAAGCGUUUUCUUUCUAGCCCAGUGGUUCUCAGUUUGGAAUUUUUGGCACUGCCUAGAGAUAGUUUUGUUGUUAAAACUGAGAAAAGAGCCGGGCGUGGUGGCACACGCCUUUAAUCCCAGCACUCAGGAGGCAGAGGCAGG
rnacentral:lncRNA from 1 species